rnacentral:lncRNA from 1 species
GUAUUAUGGCCAAGUCAGAAUAGUGAAUGCAACAGCCAUGGGGCCUGGACCCAUUUGCACCCAGCACAGUGAAUUCACUGCGGGGAAAUCCACCAAAUCUCCCUCCUGCCAACGUUUUCAAGACUCUCCCUCCAGAUGCUGGAUGACAUGAUGAGCCUGGCUGGGAGCCCACUCUCUGCUCCAUCGGCCCACCCUCCCUUUGUGUUGUCUGUGGGUGGAGUAAGCUGUUGCCAACCGUGGCCAAAUGAAAAGCCCGAUGCCCUCCCUUCUCUCUAAAAGCUAUUUAUUGUUUUCCGAGGAGCCAGCCAUCAAAGAGAUCUCCUGUGCCCCACGCACUCCUCCCAACUCCCAGUUUUUGACUGAAAAAAUGCUAACAUCCGACCAGAUACCAGAAAAACAUCCUGAAAGACAAUGCCUGGACUCUUAUUUCCUAGGGAGCAGGACCAGGGCUUAUUACCACAUCAGCCUAUCUUGUUUUUACUGCUGUGAUGUUGCUGACAACAUAGCUGAAAUCUCCAACGUCUCCUUGUUCCUACCAGCAUUGAUUGGUUAUAUUUAAGCCUUCGUCCAGACCCACUUAUUCUCCGUUUCAUCUCAUUUUCUUCCCUGGCUCAGCGCGGUGCCAAGAAUUCUCUGGCUUUACACCCUGGAAGUGUGUUAUGAUGAGAUUCAAGAAACAAAAUGUGUGCAGAGAAGAUGCAAAUGGGUCACGUUGAUCUCCCAGCAGGGGUUAUUCAGAUAAUCCAGAAUAUUCUUACACAAAGUUUUUAAUAUUAUCAACAAAAUGCAAGAAAAAAUUUAAAAAAUUAUUGCAAAAAAGCAUGAGGUCCAAGAACACAUCUAAAGACCCCAGUUGGAGUGAAAUGGGUAUGGGGCAUGGGGAGGAAGGAUGGAGGCAACUGACACAGGAAGAGACAUUGUCUUUCUUCUGAAGGCAAUGAGGACGGCUAACCCUCACAAUGCGGUUUAUAUUACUCAGCAUCUUCUUUCAGUCUCUCUCCCUCCUUCCUUCCCUCUCCCUGUCUCUCUCUCUCCCUUCUUUCAUUCUUUCUGGGACAGAGUCUCACUCUGUUGCCCAAGCUGG